rnacentral:tRNA from 1 species
GAAGGUGUAGCUCAGUGGGAGAGCCCAUGCUUUGUGUGCACAAGGCUUUGGGUUUGAUUCCUAGCACCCACU